CAUCCUAAUAAUCAAAAGCUGAUGGCACAGGUUCUUUGUGAACUAUUUCAGACAUCUCCUCAAAGAGGGAACCUUCCAACAUCUGGGAACAUUUCAGGGUUUAUACGAAGAUUAUUUUUACAGUUGAUGCUGGAAGAUGAGAAAGUGACAAUGUUUCUUCAGUCUCCAUGUCCACUGUACAAAGGUAGAAUUAAUGCUACUAGCCACGUCAUCCAGCAUCCAAUGUAUGGAGCAGGCCACAAAUUCCGUACUCUUCAUUUGCCAGUCUCAACAACAUUAUCAGAUGUUCUUGACAGAGUGUCAGGCAAGUCAGAUUUAAGUAUUAGUUUUUGUUUAACUUUAUGUUUGAUGUAUAUGGAGGUUUAUUGUUUUUAUAACUUUAUUUUCUGCAUCCACUUUGCAACCAUUGAUGACUAGGAAAGUUCAAGACAUCUUUAUAGUUUGAAGCAUAAGAAGCCAGUCAAGUGGACAAAAUGUAAAAUACUUUUAGGCACCCCUAAUUUUUUGGUUUAUUGUGUCACAGUGAGAAAUGGGCAGCUAGAAAUACAGACAAAUAAUUGAUGGCAUGUUCUCACAA
rnacentral:lncRNA from 10 species